rnacentral:rRNA from 1 species
AUGCUACCACGCUGCUGCUGGUUUCGCAGUCCGGCCGGACCAUUUUCGUCUUCGCCGCGGCGGCGUCGCGCCGUCUCUCCAGUAGCGGUCGGGGGCUCGACAUCGACACGCCCCCGGAAUGGCCGCGAGGGGCGGCGCGUCCUCGCCGUCGGUCUCGCCAUCUUCAUCAUCUCUAUCGUGACGACCGUCGUCUCUCCGGUCGUGCUCGGGGGUUCGACACCAACUCGCCCCCGGGGCAACCGCGGGGAGCGACGCAUCCUCGUCGUCGGCGUCGGCCUCUUCGUCACCACCGUUGCGAUGCCGGCCAUCCAAGCGCACGCGCGCCACACGCGGGGCCUCGCUUCGGUCGGCCGUGUCCAUCCACGCACCGCUCGCGCCUGCUCUCCUCCGUGUUGCGCCUUGCUCCAGCCGAAACACGCGUUCGCUCCUCCAUACACCAUCUAUGCAAGCUAG